rnacentral:rRNA from 1 species
UACGGAGGGGGCAAGCGUUGUUCGGAUUUACUGGGCGUAAAGGGCGCGUAGGCGGCUUUGUAAGUUACUUGUGAAAUCUCUGAGCUUAACUCAGAACUGCCAAGUGAUACUGCAGAGCUAGAGUGUAGAAGGGGCAACUGGAAUUCUUGGUGUAGCGGUGAAAUGCGUAGAUAUCAAGAGGAACACCUGAGGCGAAGGCGGGUUGCUGGGCUAACACUGACGCUGAGGCGCGAAAGCUAGGGGAGCAAACAGG